rnacentral:piRNA from 1 species
UUGAAUGAUUUAGUGAGGUCUUCGGACCGACA